rnacentral:rRNA from 1 species
AUUGAACGCUGGCGGCAUGCUUUACACAUGCAAGUCGAACGGUAACAGGUUAAGCUGACGAGUGGCGGACGGGUGAGUAAUGCAUCGGAACGUGCCUGAUCGUGGGGGAUAACGCAGCGAAAGCUGCGCUAAUACCGCAUACGAUCUGAGGAUGAAAGCGGGGGACCGUAAGGCCUCGCGCGAUCGGAGCGGGCGAUGUCAGAUUAGGUAGUUGGUGGGGUAAAGGCUCACCAAGCCAACGAUCUGUGGCUGGUCUGAGAGGACGACCAGCCACACUGGGACUGAGACACGGCCCAGACUCCUACGGGAGGCAGCAGUGGGGAAUUUUGGACAAUGGGCGAAAGCCUGAUCCAGCAAUGCCGCGUGCAGGAAGAAGGCCUUCGGGUUGUAAACUGCUUUUGUACGGAGCGAAAAGGCUCUCUCUAAUACAGGGGGCUCAUGACGGUACCGUAAGAAUAAGCACCGGCUAACUACGUGCCAGCCGCCGCAGUAA